GAUGAACGCUGGCGGCGUGCCUAACACAUGCAAGUCGAGCGAACAGACGAUGAGCUCGUUCCCUUGACGUUAGCGGCGGACGGGCGAGUAACACGUGGAUAACCUUCUUAUUUUACUGGGAUAACUACGGGAAACCGGUGCUACUACUGGAUAAUACAUCGUACCGCAUGGUUCAAUAGUGCAUGACGGCUUUGCCGUUUCUUUUAGACGGAUCCGCGCCGCAUUAGCUAGUUGGUAAGGUAACGGCUUACCAAGGCGACGAUGCGUAGCCGACCUGAGAGGGUGAUCAGCCACACUGGAACUGAGACACGGUCCAGACUCCUACGGGAGGCAGCAGUAGGGAAUAUUGCGCAAUGGGCGAAAGCCUGACGGAGCAACGCCGCGUGGGUGAUGAAGGUCUUCGGGUCGUAAAGCUCUGUUGUUGGGGAAGAAAAGCUGUGUGAGAAACUAUGGACGUCUUGACGGUACCUAAUCAAUAAGCCCCGGCUAACUACGUG
rnacentral:rRNA from 1 species